GAUCCUGGCUCAGGACGAACGCUGGCGGCGCGCCUAACACAUGCAAGUCGAACGGUGAAGAGGAGCUUGCUCCUCGGAUCAGUGGCGGACGGGUGAGUAACACGUGAGCAACCUGGCUCUAAGAGGGGGACAACAGUUGGAAACGACUGCUAAUACCGCAUGAUGUAUCGGGAUGGCAUCUUCCUGAUACAAAAGAUUUAUCGCUUAGAGAUGGGCUCGCGU
rnacentral:rRNA from 1 species